UGGCAAUGUCUGGGGUUGUUACUGCGGU
rnacentral:piRNA from 1 species